rnacentral:rRNA from 1 species
GGGUUGUGAGGUUAAGCGACUAAGCGUACACGGUGGAUGCCCUGGCAGUCAGAGGCGAUGAAGGACGUGCUAAUCUGCGAAAAGCGCCGGCGAGGUGAUAUGAACCCUUGACCCGGCGAUGUCCGAAUGGGGAAACCCAGUGUGAUUCGUCACACUAUCGUUAACUGAAUACAUAGGUUAACGAGGCGAACCGGGGGAACUGAAACAUCUAAGUACCCCGAGGAAAAGAAAUCAACCGAGAUUCCCCCAGUAGCGGCGAGCGAACGGGGAGCAGCCCGGAGUCUGAAUCAGCUUGUGUGUUAGUGGAACGGUCUGGAAAGUCCGACGGUACAGGGUGAUAGUCCCGUACACGAAAGCACACUUGCUGUGAACUCGAAGAGUAGGGCGGGACACGUGGUAUCCUGUCUGAAUAUGGGGGGACCAUCCUCCAAGGCUAAAUACUCCUGACUGACCGAUAGUGAACCAGUACCGUGAGGGAAAGGCGAAAAGAACCCCGGCGAGGGGAGUGAAAAAGAACCUGAAACCGUGUACGUACAAGCAGUGGGAGCACCUUCGUGGUGUGACUGCGUACCUUUUGUAUAAUGGGUCAGCGACUUAUAUUCUGUAGCAAGGUUA